rnacentral:rRNA from 1 species
UCAGUCAGUGGUGAAAGUCCGGGGCUCAACCAUGGAAUCGCCAUUGAAACCACGGGGCUUGAGUAUGAUUGAGGUAGGCGGAACGCGUGGUGUAGCGGUGAAAUGCAUAGAUAUCACGCAGAACCCCGAUUGCGAAGGCAGCUUACCAAGCCAUGACUGACACUGAGGCACGAAAGCGUGGGUAUCGAACAGGAUUAGAUACCCUGGUAGUCCACGCAGUAAACGAUGAUCACUAGGGAUUUGCGAUAGACGGUAAGUCCCCGAGCGAAAGCGUUAAGUGAUCCACCUGGGGAGUACGCCGGCAACGGUGAAACUCAAAGGAAUUGACGGGGGCCCGCACAAGCGGAGGAACAUGUGGUUUAAUUCGAUGAUACGCGAGGAACCUUACCCGGGUUUGAACGCAGGUGGACAGCCGAGGAAACUCGGUCUCUAGCAAUAGCCGCUUGCGAGGUGCUGCAUGGUUGUCGUCAGCUCGUGCCGUGAGGUGUCGGCUUAAGUGCCAUAACGAGCGCAACCCCCAUCGCCAGUUACUAACAGGUUAUGCUGAGGACUCUGGCGAGACUGCCAGCGUAAGCUGCGAGGAGGGUGGGGAUGACGUCAAAUCAGCACGGCCCUUACAUCCGGGGCGACACACGUGUUACAAUGGCGUGGACAAAGGGCGGCGACCUGGCGACAGGAAGCGAAUCCCCAAACCACGUCUCAGUUCGGAUCGGAGUCUGCAACCCGACUCCGUGAAGCUGGAUUCGCUAGUAAUCGCGCAUCAGCCAUGGCGCGGUGAAUACGUUCCCGGGCCUUGUACACACCGCCCGUCAAGCCAUGGGAGCCGGGGGUACCUGAAGUCCGUUACCGCGAGGAUCGGCCUAGGGUAAAACUGGUGACUGGGGCUAAGUCGUAACAAGGUAACC